AGAGAGAGACAUGCGCGCAUAUCAAUAAGCGGAGGAAAAGAAACUAACAAGGAUUCCCCUAGUAACGGCGAGUGAAGCGGGAAGAGCUCAAAUUUGAAAUCUUAAAGGGUUUCCCUUUACGAAUUGUAGUUUAAAGAAGUGUUUUCUGUUGAGGUUUUGGUAAAAGUUCUUUGGAAUAGGACAUCAUAGAGGGUGAGAAUCCCGUAUUCGACCUUUACUUUCAACUUUGUGAUACACUUUCAAAGAGUCGGAUUGUUUGGGAAUGCAGUCCAAAAUGGGUGGUAAAUUUCAUCUAAAGCUAAAUAUUGGCGAGAGACCGAUAGCGAACAAGUACCGUGAGGGAAAGAUGAAAAGAACAUUGAAAAGAGAGUUAAACAGUACGUGAAAUUGUCAAAAGGGAAGCGUUUGACACCAGUGUUGUUUUUCUGAAAAUCAAUUAAAGAACUGUUUAUGCUAAGUUGUUUAGACUUUAUCAGCUAACUGUUUAGUUUUGAGCUUUUCUUUAAUGCACUUUUCAGUUAACAAGUCAACAUCAAUUUCUUUUGCUGUAAAAAAGCUUGAGGAAGGUGGCUUGAGAUUCGUCUUAAGUGUUUAUAGCCUCUUGCCUAUGCAGUCGGAGAGAUUGAGGUCUGCAGCGUAGAUCCUUCGGGGCUAAAUGCAUUUGUGCUAAGUUAUAACAUUUUAUAGACAACUUGUUGACUAUGAUUUGUCUUGUAGCUUACUCGCUUAUGUUAUUUUACCUACGCUUAGGAUGUUGAGCGCAUGUCUCUCUCU
rnacentral:rRNA from 1 species